UCCAAAGUACCAGCAAUUGAAAAUCUAGAUAAACUUUUACAUGUCUCAGAUGCAGUUUUGUGGAAAGUCGUAAGAAACACCAUCUAGCUUUUCCAUCUUUUCCAGUUUGCAAUGCUCACACGUGAUACCAAACAAGAGAGCCCUAAUUGUCUUCCUUACAUAGACACUAGGGGGACUGGAAUGGUUUUGGACUUUGUAGUGAGAUGGGGGUGAACUCAUGCUCGUUCUACAAGGCAUAUGUUGAUUCUGGCGAGAAGGUGAGUUGAAAUUACAUGUCCUGAUGGUCCGGAAAUUGUGUUCCUCCUCACCAACCAAACAUUGAUAAAUAUUGUCAAUUCACUUACCAAGCACAAAAUAUCUGAGGAAAUCAUUUGUUUCCCUUCAUGCCAACACAUCACGAGGGGGGGAAGGGAUGAAAAGGAGCAACAUUAAAAUGUACAAGUUACCUUCGCUCUAGAAGGCAAAGAUAAAGCCUAUACAAAACACAAUCUUAUACGUUUUUAUGUCCAUCACAAUGCAGCAUAUUUAUGUACAAGCUAAAGCACAAAGUUUAAUAUACUAAUAAAACUAAUUGAAUCAAUUAACUUAGAGAACCAAACAAGACCGACACAACCCUUCGAACGAGAUGCCUGCAAUUCGAAAAAAGGUUUUAGAGAAAAUAUCUCCACAAGAGCAUCUGCAUCAAAAAGAUAAAAUAUUUACAGCAACCACAGCAAACUGGUAACUUUUGCUGAUCAUAGAAAUGCAAAUUUCUUGCCUUAAAGGGAUCAUACUACAAAUCCAUUACAGCAUUACAAAGAUCUUCGCCUUCACCAAAAGAUUCAUAAUGAUAGUUAUCAAACAACUAAAACUAGAAGUUUAAGACAUUCGAAAUUUGGAGAGUUGCCAAGUCGAAGUACUGAAAUUUCAGAACUUUUGAGUAACAGCAAUUUCAAAUGUCUUGACAACUAGAAAAAUUCCCAAACCAACCAACAAAAGAAAAGCCAGGCAUUAAACUGACUGCUGGUUUAUAAGAAAAUGGUAGGAUAACAAAAAUUACAACAUUUUUAAGGGCGGUAUACGGAGAUUAAAAAGAUGGAUGCACUUCAAAAUUUCCUGUUUCAUCUAUAUAUCCUAUAAUUUUCCAAAUAGAAAGAGACAAAAAUAUGAAAAUCCAACAACCACUCACCAUUAGAUCUCUGUUGCAGAUCAAACUCAUCCGCAGUGGCGGAUCCAGGAUUUUAAAGUCGUGGGUGCUCACUGAUAAAAAAUUGAAAGAAGAGGAAAAAAGAGUUUAGUUAUGGGUGCUCAAUCAAUAUUUACCUAAAUAUAUUUAUAAUUACCUAUACAAAUUUACUAAAUCUUGUCAAAGAUAAUGGGUGCUUGAGCACCCAAAAUUAGCAUGUAGAUUUGCCCCUGCUCAUCCGUGCAUGCUAGUUGACCCAGUAUUCUUCAACCUUCAACAUUCAUGUCAAGAAAAAAAGCAUUAGCAGAAUUCAAGCAAAGUAAAACGUCCACGGGAGGAAAAAAAAGAAGGAUGAAAUUUCACUCGCAACUAAUUUAAGUUUCUCGUUUUUACACAUAAUCAUACAACUAUAAUAUUAUACUUUUGGGACUUCCCGAAAGUUAAAACAUCAUCAUAGUAUUUGACAAAUGCAUCUACUUAGUGAACUUUCAUCAAAUUGGUUAAAAAGAUUCAUUUUAUUAGAUCUAGUACUAACCUAUGUUGCUCGGACUCUCCGAAAAUUAUGCCCGGUGCGUGUCGGAUCCUCCAAAAAUAGUGUAUUUUUGAAGGAUCCGACACGGGGUGCGGCAUCAUUUUGUAGAGUCCGCGCAACAUAGGUACUAACCCCUUGUUUGGAUGGUUGUUACAUGUUGUAUUGCAAGUUCGUUCUUCAUAUUGUUGGGGCAUAUCAUCGUGAAAUGAUGGAAAAUAAUAAAAAUCUAUUCAAAUAUUGUACACAUCAAAAUGAUACGAUACGAUGCAAUAUAAUAUAAUAUAAUAAAAUACAAUACACGGACACAAGCCUACAACAGAUAAUUAUUAAUCCCUUAAGGAUAUAACAAAGAGGUUACAAACAGCUAAUGUUUUCUUUUUGCGAGCAUAUGAUUUUAGAAACUUCAAAUACUUAAAAUAUUCCCUUCGUCCCAUAUUUCGGGACCCUUUUGACAAUUCACAAGGACCAAGAAGUGGAACACAUUCUUAGCUUUUUCAAUGUUACACUUCUUUCGAUCUGGUACAUGCAAGCGAGGAGUUCUUCCAACAAGGUGAGUUAUGGCGUAUGCAACCAGGCAUGAGUUUGAUGCCUUUCAAGUAACAUAUCAUGUGCUUGAACGUGUCCAUGUAUAAUACAGAUAACAGAAAUAAUCUUGGAUAGAGAAACACACUCCACACUGUUUGUAGAGACUGUAUUUUCCAACUACCCCUUCUAGGAAUGGCAGGCGGUGCGGGUACGGGGCAGCACAAUUUCAACCCGCCCGCCCCGCAUAUGAUUUAAACUCGCGUGCACCCGCCUGCCCAGCAAAAUGUUUUUUUAAAAAAAAUCUCUUUUUUUUUGAUUUUUUUUUACAGUAGUUGUAUUAUAUAAAGACGCCACAAACAUCUACACAACAUCUGAAAUUUGCCACUUAAAUUUUGCAUUAAGAUACACUCAGUAUAAUUUGGUACUGUUUAUUAGUUCAAUCGUAGACUAUAAAAUAGAACCGCUUACAACUUGAUUUCAAGAAUAUAUUACAGCUUCAAUACAAAUAGGAUAAAUAAUUAUUGGGAUUGGAAUUGAGAAUUUUACCAUUUAGCUCCAAGAAUUUCUCAGACUUGCGUGCCAUUGCAGAGAGAAACUGAACAACUACACUUGUGAUUGUGUUUGUGUUUUUAUCGGUCCAAAAAGUAAAAUCCCCAACCAGCGACCCGCCCCGCAUAAUUUUUUUUAAAAAACUGAACCAGCCCCGCC
rnacentral:lncRNA from 1 species